rnacentral:lncRNA from 1 species
GCAGCGUUCCCUGGGUCCUGCUCCAGAGGGGAUCCCUGGGCUGGGACCCCUGUGCCGGGACCCUCAGGGCCACCAGGGCCACCAGGGCCACCAGGGUCACCAGGGCCACCAGGGGCACCAGGGCCACCAGGGCCACCAGUGACACCAGNCAUUGACACCAGUGACACCAGUGGCACCAGUGACACCAUUGACACCAGUGACACCAGUGACACCAGUGACACCAUUGACACCAGUGACACCAGUGACACCAGUGACACCAGGGGCACCAGUGACACCAGUGACACCAGUGACUCCAGUGGUACCAUUGACACCAGUGACACCAGUGACACCAGUGGCACCAGUGACACCAGUGACACCAGUGACACCAGUGACACCAUUGACACCAGUGACACCAGUGACACCAGUGGCACCAGUGGCACCAGUGACACCAGUGACACCAGUGACACCAGGGCCACCAUUGACACCAGUGGCACCAGUGACACCAGUGGCACCAGUGGCACCAGUGGCACCAUUGACACCAGUGGCACCAGUGACACCAGUGGCACCAGUGACACCAGUGACACCAGUGGCACCAGUGGCACCAGUGACACCAGUGGCACCAGUAGCACCAGUGACACCAGUGACACCAGUGGCACCAGUAGCACCAGUGACACCAGUGACACCAGUGGCACCAGUGGCACCAGUGGUACCAUUGACACCAGUGGCACCAGUGACACCAUUGACACCAGUGACACCAGUGGCACCAGUGACACCAUUGACACCAGUGACACCAGUGGCACCAGUGACACCAGUGACACCAGUGGCACCAGUGACACCAGUGACACCAGUGGCUGCUGCCGUGCACAGCUGGAUCAAUACUCCCUAAUUUGCUCUCCACAGUUCUCUGGGCUGGAGGAGAAGGCUGUUGGCCCCAGGCAGGAGCUGCUGGGGUGGAGAUGGGGUGCCCAGCCCCAUUGGGGGUCUGUCUGUCUGUCUCUUUCCUCUGUGCCCCAGGGACCCCUCAG